rnacentral:rRNA from 1 species
UGGGGAAUAUUGCGCAAUGGGGGAAACCCUGACGCAGCGACGCCGUGUGAGGGAAGAAGGCUUUCGGGUCGUAAACCUCUGUCGGGAAGGAAGAACCCCUCGGGUCCCAAUAGGGCUCGAGGCUGACGGUACUUCCAAAGGAAGCACCGGCUAACUCCGUGCCAGCAGCCGCGGUAAUACGGAGGGUGCAAGCGUUAAUCGGAAUCACUGGGCGUAAAGCGCGCGUAGGCGGCCUUUUAAAGUCGGACGUGAAAGCCCUCGGCUCAACCGGGGAAUUGCGUUCGAUACUGGGAGGCUUGAGUCCUGGAGAGGGUGGCGGAAUUCCGGGUGUAGGAGUGAAAUCCGUAGAUAUCCGGAGGAACACCGGUGGCGAAGGCGGCCACCUGGACAGGUACUGACGCU